rnacentral:rRNA from 1 species
UAUCCUGGAGCGGUGAGUAAAACAAAUGUAGGAAUAAGUAACGAUAAGGAGGGUGAGAUUCCCUCCCGCUGUAAGACCAAGGUUUCCCGGGCAGUGCCAAUCAGCCCGGGGUCAGUCGGGUCCUAAGUCUAAGCCGAACGGCGAGGGCGAUGGCAGAGACGGUUAAUAUUCCGUCACUGCCGCAUGGGGCGACGUGGAGACGGAGCAGUGAAACCACCGCGGGGCGACGGAAGUCCCCGUUGAAGGGUGUAGGUUAUGAGAUGGGCAGGCAAAUCCACCCGUUGAGCCAAACCUGACAGUACGGAGUCCUCCCCGGAGGAGUCCGAUAGCGUGGGUAACCAUACUCCCGAGAAAAUCCGCUAAGCUUAACCCAUGCGGCACCCGUACCGCAAACGGACACACGUGGUCGGGUAGAACAUACUAAGGCGUUGAGAGAUUCAUGGUUAAGGAACUAGGCAAACUGACCCCGUAACUUCGGGAUAAGGGGUCCUCGUGACGAGCGAGGCGCAGAGAAUAGGUCCAGGCAACUGUUUAACAAAAACACAGGGCUGUGCAAACUCGAAAGAUGAAGUAUACAGCCUGACACCUGCCCGGUGCCGGAAGGUUAAGAGGAGAUGUCACACGUAAGUGGAAGCAUUGAAUUGAAGCCCCGGUAAACGGCGGCCGUAACAAUAACGGUCCUAAGGUAGCGAAAUUCCUUGUCGGGUAAGUUCCGACCUGCACGAAUGGUGUAAUGAUCCGGACGCUGUCUCAACCAUGAGCUCAGUGAAAUUGUAGUAUCGGUGAAGAUGCCGAUUACCCGCGAUGGGACGAAAAGACCCCGUGAACCUUUACUACAGCUUAGCAUUGACCUUGGUCAUCCGAUGUGUAGGAUAGGCCGGAGGCUUCGAAGCGGGAGCGCCAGCUUUCGUGGAGCCAUCUUUGAAAUACGGCCCUUUGGCUGUCUGAGGUCUAACGCGUUAUACGCGGACACUGCUUGGUGGGUAGUUUGACUGGGGUGGUCGCCUCCAAAAGCGUAACGGAGGCUUCCAAAGGUGCCCUCGGGCCGAUUGGUAACCGGCCUUACAGAGUGCAAUGGCAUAAGGGCGCUUGACUGGGAGGCAGACAUGCCGAGCAGGCAGGAAACUGGGGCAUAGUGAUCCGGCGGAUGUGUAUGGAAACUCCGUCGCUCAAAGGAUAAAAGGUACUCCGGAUAACAGGCUGAUCCCCCCCAAGAGCUCAUAUCGACGGGGUGGUUUGGCACCUCGAUGUUGGCUCGUCACAUCCUGGGGCUGGAGAAGGUCCCAAGGGUUGGGCUGUUCGCCCAUUAAAGUGGCACGCGAGCUGGGUUCAGAACGUCGUGAGACAGUUCGGUCUCUAUCUAUCGUGGGCGUGGGAGUUUUGCGUGGUGCCGUCACUAGUACGAGAGGACCGUGAUGGACAGACCUCCGGUUUACCAGUUGUGCCGCCAGGCGCACCGCUGGGUAUCUGAGUCUGGAUUGGAUAAGCGCUGAAAGCAUCUAAGUGCGAAGCCAGCCGCAAGAUGAGAACUCCAUAGAGGGUCGUCAUAGACGAUGACGUUGAUAGGACGCAGGUGUAAAGACGGCGACGUCAAAGCCGAGCGUUACUAAUUGCUC